rnacentral:lncRNA from 1 species
CUUACUACCAGCACCAUGCCCCACCUCCUCAAGCCCACCCCCCUUACUCAGGACACCAUCCGGUACCACAUGAAGCAAGAUACAGAGAUAAACGAGUACAUGACUAUGAUAUGAGGGUCGAUGAUUUCCUUCGCCGCACGCAAGCUGUGGUCAGUGCCUCGAGAAAGAGAUCGGGAGCGAGAGCGAGACCGCCCCAGAGAUAACAGAAGAGAUAGAGAGCGAGACAGAGGUCGUGAUCGAGAAAGAGAGAGAGAAAGAAUAUGUGAUCGGGACAGAGACCGAGGGGAGAGAGGUCGUUAUCGAAGAUAAUGUGCUUUUGGAAGCACUGACUGAAGAUAAAGAAAAUAUUGUAUUUUUUUUGUGUGUGUUUACAAGUAGUAAAUUUAUUUUCAGCUGUCGACUUAAAGCUCAUUGUGUAGAAGGAUUUAUUAUCACCUUUGUUCCAAGCAUGCAGUAGAAUAAGAACUGGAAAACUCAGAUCCGCCAAAAAAAUGCACAGUUGACAGUUGGGUUGACUCUUUUAUUGGGGCAGAAUGGAACAGUCCAAGAAUGUAGAUAUUGAUUCAUUCUCCAUAAAUGUUCUUUUUACAGUGUAUUCAUCCUAGAGUUAUUUUGUUUGUUUGUUCUCCUUUUGGACCUUGGUCAAUAACUGCCAUAGAAUUUCGCUUUGUGUUUCUAUAGGUAGCUGCUCACGGUUCAGUAAAAAUACUGCUGCUAUCAAGUAUGCAAAUAUGGAAGUAUGAUGGUUUGACUAUAUGGCAGUGUUGUAGCAGCCUCUCGGUUUUUCCUCUUUCCUCCUUUUUUUUAAACCUAUAAAGUCACUUUUAAGUCUUCAAUGAUGAGAGCAAUAUUAAGAAGACGUUGCUAUCUAAUUUUUAAUCUUUUUAAAUAAAAAGUUCCUGUGUUCAGUAGCAUGGUUAAUGCUAUUGUUUAGCCUCCCUUUUAAACUGUACACUGGCUUGGAAUGUUCACAGUUUCGCGUGUGUGGCAGCAGAAGAUAACCCCACAUUCUACAUUGCUACUGUUUUGUAUGAAAUAAAUUGAUAAAGAUUGACACU